AUGCUGCCGCUUUGUGGGCACCCCCGGUCGGGAGGGCUUGUUGCGCGCCGCGCUUACGCCCUCCUGCGCUAUGGCGGGCGGCUCUCGCCUCAUGCAGCGUUCGUCUGGGGGACGCGCGCGCCGUCGCGGGUGAAGUUCUUCUGCUGGCUGUUGGUCCAUCGUCGAGUCAACACUCGGGAUGUCCUUCUUCGGAAGACCAUUGUUGAUCGCGCGGGGGCUGGCUGCCCCGUCUGCUUGGCGGAGCUGGAAACCACGGACCAUCUGAUGUUUGUCUGCCCGUUCGCGCGCGAGUUCUGGCGCGCCGUGGGGGGUGUGGUGAUCGCGGCCGGGGCGUCGGUAGAGCGACUCUUCGCCCUAGACGUAAGAGUUGCCGUAGGAGAUGCCUCUCCCGACACCUUCAUCCUUCUAUGCUGCUGGCACCUAUGGAAGCACCGGAACGGGGUGGUCUUCCAGGCUAUGGUGCCAUCUCUGGAUCGGGUCCUAAGCUGCUGUCGAGAGGAUGCUGUUCUCUGGCGAGAACGGCUACGUCCACGGGAUCGUGCGGAUGUUGAUGCGUGGGUGCGUGCGUUGACGCGGUGA
rnacentral:rRNA from 1 species